AAGGGCACCACAAGACGCGUGGAGCAUGUGGCUUAAUUCGACUCAACGCGGGAAAUCUUACCGGGUCCGGACGUGCUGAGGAUUGACAGGUUUUGUGCAAGUAUUUAAAAUAUAUAUAUUUAUUUAUAUAUUUUUUAUUUACUUGUACUCAAAGAUGCUAGUCCUUUCAUGAUUGUGCGAUAGGUGGUGCAUGGCCGUUCUUAGUUCGUGGAGUGAUCUGUCUGCUUAAUUGCGUUUCGCAAAUGGCCGGUAUUACACCAUAACUUGUGCACCAAUGUGUGUUCGCUGUUUCACUACAGUUCGUAGCGCCAUUGGGUUUGUACACUCGUUUGGUAAACCGGCCUGGAAAGCAACGAACGUGACCGCAGCCUCUUGUUGCCUUUUACUAUUUUAUACUUUUAUUAGUAUAAAUAUUUCUAAAGGCUAACUAGAGGGACCGCUCGACAUUUGUUAAAACAGAGGAAGGUUGCGGCAAUAACAGGUCUGUGAUGCCCUUAGAUGUUCCGGGCUGCACGCGUGCUACAAUGAUUAUUGCAGUAAGCAUCUUAAUUGUUCCCUCACUUUUUAAACUUGUCUGUUUAUUGUGAGAGCGAGCACAAGCGUUUAUAUAAGUUCUUCUCUUUUUUUUUAAAGAGAUGUAACUUCUACCUACUUCGAAAGUCAGUAGGCAAUCAAUUCUAAGUAAUGAUUUCCCAAUUUAGGCACAUACAAUUGUUCCAUUGUCGUUUGUACUGCCGAGUUAUGUAGCAAUACAUAUACUCACAGUACGUCUAAAAAACACUUUGGUAACGUGUGCUCCAACAAAAAUACUUGUUAUUUUUCAAUUCGUGGUGGGGACAGACCAUUGCUAAUUGUUGGUCUCGUCUUAACUAGGAAUGCCUUGUACGGGUCUCUGGUUCAACAAACCACCCGGAAUACGUCCCUGCCCUUUGUACACACCGCCCGUCGCUCUUACCGAUAGACUUCUCUGUGAGUUUGAGGGACUGGCUCGAAUUACACUUGUUGUAUUUGAGCUAUGGAAACUCACACGAACAGUGAGGUCCAAAGGAAAGAAAAGUCGUAACAAGGCAUCGGUAGGUGAACCU
rnacentral:rRNA from 1 species